rnacentral:rRNA from 1 species
GACCUCAAAUCAGGUAGGGCUACCCGCUGAACUUAAGCAUAUCAAUAAGCGGAGGAAAAGAAACUAACAAGGAUUCCCCUAGUAGCGGCGAGCGAACCGGGAUGAGCUCAAAUUUGAAAUCUGGCUCCCUCCGGGUGUCCGAGUUGUAAUCUACAGAAGCGUUUUCCGUGCCGGACCGUGUCCAAGUCCCUUGGAACAGGGUAUCAAAGAGGGUGACAAUCCCGUACUUAACACGACGACCGGUGCUCUGUGACACGCUCUCUACGAGUCGAGUUGUUUGGGAAUGCAGCUCAAAAUGGGUGGUAAAUUCCAUCUAAAGCUAAAUAUUGGCAAGAGACCGAUAGCGAACAGUACCGUGAGGGAAAGAUGAAAAGCACUUGGAAAGAGAGU